GCCUUUCAGAGGGGGAGUAACAUUUGGAAACAGAUACUAAUACCGCAUAAGAUUACAGUACCGCAUGAUACAGUGAUCAAAGGAGCAAUCCGCUGAAAGAUGGGCUCGCGUCCGAUUAGAUAGUUGGUGAGGUAACGGCUCACCAAGUCGACGAUCGGUAGCCGGACUGAGAGGUUGAACGGCCGCAUUGGGACUGAGACACGGCCCAG
rnacentral:rRNA from 1 species